rnacentral:rRNA from 1 species
CCGGCGCACGGGUGAGUAACACGUAUGCAACCUGCCUGCCACAGCCGGAUAAUCGGGAGAAAUUCCGUCUAAUACGGCAUAAUGCAUCGACGGGACAUCCUGUUGGUGCCAAAGGUUAAUUCCGGUGGCGGAUGGGCAUGCGUCGCAUUAGUUAGUUGGCGGUGUAACGGACCACCAAGACGACGAUGCGUAGGGGUUCUGAGAGGAAGGUACCCCACACCGGUACUGAGACACGGACCAGACUCCUACGGAAGGCAGCAG